UACGUAGGGGGCAAGCGUUAUCCGGAUUUACUGGGUGUAAAGGGAGCGUAGACGGACUUGCAAGUCUGAUGUGAAAAUCCGGGGCCCAACCCCGGAACUGCAUUGGAAACUGUAUAUCCAGAGUGUCGGAGAGGCAAGUGGAAUUCCUGGUGUAGCGGUGAAAUGCGUAGAUAUCAGGAGGAACACCAGUGGCGAAGGCGGCUUGCUGGACGAUGACUGACGUUGAGGCUCGAAAGCGUGGGGAGCAAACAGG
rnacentral:rRNA from 1 species